CCAAGGCUGGGACGUAACCAGCGGAGGCGGGAGAACCGGGCUUCCCGUUUAGUCGCGUCUCCAGGAUCAAAGGAAAUUGGCCCUUCCUCUUCUUUACCAAAUGAUUUCCGUUCUUACCCGCCCCGCCCCCGCCCCGUUAGGCGCGAGACUCCUCCCUCUCUCCCCUCCCCCAACAGGUUCCUCGCGCUGAGUUCGCGACCUCGAGUUGUAAUCUGGAGAGGCGCCAGUACGCCGGCGCAGGUCUUCGCAAGAUGGCGGCUGGAGGCAAGGGCGGAGGCUUUCAGAGCGUUUUCUUUUUCCCUUUCCUCUCUUCCUGCAAACAAUGGUUUUCCAUGUCCAGUGUGGCGACUUCCCUCGGUGGAGGAGACCAUCAGUUUCUCCAGAUGUUCCCGUUUCUGCCUUCCUAAGAACACAUUCCUAAUAUAACCAUGGCUCCUCUGAGUGUUCUCCUGUGACCACAGGUAGGAGGUUUAUCUUCUGCUAAUGGAAGGAUCUGAAAUGGGAUGGAAAAGGAACAUGAAUUAAAUUACCAACAAGGCUGUUCUGCACUCUUGGCUGAAAGUAAAUCGCUAUGCUGUUUUACAUUUCAAUUUAUGCCUAGCUGUGGUAGCUGAUGUAGAAUAUCAGAGCCCAGAUGAUGACAUAAAAACACCUUAAGUAAUAUAACAUCAGCAAAAUAAAAUCAUCCCACUUUAAAACAAUAAACAUUUGAAGCUUUCCCAUUACUAAAUUCCCAGGAAGAAAUCAACGUCCAAGAAUUAAAAUUUCUUUUAUCAAUUAAAGUGCAAAAAAAUUACAGCUCUUACCAGUUUGUCAUUCUGCUUAAUCUCAGGGGGUCUCAUUCAGACCCAGGGUAGAGUCAAGUUCUUUAGCAUUGUCAGCUUUGGCUGUCUUCCACUGGAAUGAAUGUCGUUUUCUGUGAGAAUUAUCAGCUCUGUGCAAACUAAGUAUUUCCUGCUUUGCUCUUUCAUGGCACAUGGAAAGAUCUCACUUCAUUCCUACUUUGCUAUAUGACUCUAGCGGCCAAUGAAAUUGUACUUGCAUUUUUAUUUGCAGCACUGUUCACAAUAACAAAGAUAUGAAAUUAACUUAAGUGUCUGUCUACAGAUGAAUACAUUAAAAAAUGUAGUAUGGGCCAGGUGUGGUGGCUCAUGCCUAUAAUCCCAGCACUUUGGGAGGCUGAGGCGGGUACAUCACUUGAGGUCAGGAGUUGGAGACCAGCCUGGCCAACAUGGUGAAAUCCCAUCUCUACUAAAAAGAAAAAAUUAGCUGAGUGUGGUGGCGGGUGCCUGUAGUCCCAGCCACUAGGAGGCUGAGACAGGAGAAUCACUUGAGCCCAGGAGGCGGAGGUUGCAGUGAGCUGAGAUCGUGCCACUGCACUCCAGCUUGGGCGACAGAGCGAGACUCUGUUUCUAAAUAAAUAAAAUAAAAAUAAAAAUGUACUAUGUAUACAAAAUGAAAUACUAUUCUACCAUAAAAAAGAAAUAAUUAAAUUAUUUGAGGCACCAUGGAUGGAAAUGGAGGACCUUAUCUUAAGUGAAAUAAGCCAGGCACAAGAAGACAAAUAUUGCACAUUCUCACUACAUGUAGGAGCUAAAACAUUUGAACACAUGGAGGUAGAAAGUAGAAAAACAGAUAACAGAGACUGGGAAGGGAGAGUGGGGAGGAGGGGAGAGGAUGAAGACAAGUGAGUUCAAGGGUGCAAAUAUACAGAAAGAUAAAGGAAGUAAGUUUA
ensembl:lncRNA